rnacentral:tRNA from 1 species
AUUUAUAUAGUAUAAUAAGUACCAUUGACUUCCAAUCAAAAAGCCUAAAAAAUUUAGUGUAAAUA